rnacentral:lncRNA from 1 species
GCAGGUAAUGAAACAUCAGCUGGAAAACACCCUUCCUAUAUAUAUAUUUUUUUAUAUUAAUCUUAUUUUUGCAAUCUUUCAGGAGUGCCCCCCAAUUUUUGGAAUAAUCUACACGUGUCUUCAGGGUUUUACUUUUAGUUCACACAAUGGCCUAUAUAAAUCAUCUGAAGUUUCCUUCAUUCCCGAAGUUACUAAGAAGGAAAAAUGUUUUUGACAGGUUCCAAUAACAACUCUAAGCUAGGUGCAUUUUUUAUGGCAAGAGCAGGAAGAAGGCUUCUUCUAUUUGUAAGCGCCACAACUAAAUUUUAUAACGAUCCUAAUUUAGACACAAAAUUUACACUAAUUCUCCCUUCUUCACUUUGCAAUUACAGGUUUCAUCUUCAGGAUUAGUUAAUAUUAUAGGCAGCCUUUUAGUUGGAACUUCCUUUUUCUUGAAG